rnacentral:rRNA from 1 species
GACGAACGCUGGCGGCGUGCUUAACACAUGCAAGUCGUACGGUAAGGCCCUUUCGGGGGUACACGAGUGGCGAACGGGUGAGUAACACGUGAGUAACCUGCCCACAACUUUGGGAUAACGCUAGGAAACUGGUGCUAAUACUGGAUAUGUGCUCCUGCUGCAUGGGGGGGGUUGGAAAGCUCCGGCGGUUGUGGAUGGACUCGCGGCCUAUCAGCUUGUUGGUGGGGUAGUGGCCUACCAAGGCGGCGACGGGUAGCCGGCCUGAGUGGGUGACCGGCCACAUUGGGACUGGGAUUCGGCCCAGACUCCUACGGGAGGCAGCAGUGGGGAAUAUUGCACAAUGGGCGCAAGCCUGAUGCAGCAACGCCGCGUGCGGGAUGACGGCCUUCGGGUUGUAAACCGCUUUCAGCAGGGACGAAGCUUUUUGUGACGGUACCUGCAGAAGAAGCACCGGCUAACUACGUG